rnacentral:rRNA from 1 species
GACGAACGCUGGCGGCGUGCUUAACACAUGCAAGUCGAACGGAAAGGCCCUGCUUUUGUGGGGUGCUCGAGUGGCGAACGGGUGAGUAACACGUGAGUAACCUGCCCUUGACUUUGGGAUAACUUCAGGAAACUGGGGCUAAUACCGGAUAGGAGCUCCUGCUGCAUGGUGGGGGUUGGAAGGUUUCGGCGGUUGGGGAUGGACUCGCGGCUUAUCAGCUUGUUGGUGGGGUAGUGGCUUACCAAGGCUUUGACGGGUAGCCGGCCUGAGAGGGUGAACGGCCACAUUGGGACUGCGAUACGGCGCAGACGCCUACGGGAGGCAGCAGGGGGGAGUAUUGCACAACGGGCGGAAGCCUGAUGCAGCGACGCCGCGUGCGGGAUGACGGCCUUCGGGUUGUAAACCGCUUUCGCCUGUGACGAAGCGUGAGUGACGGUAAUGGGUAAAGAAGCACCGGCUAACUACGUG